UCUUCCCUCUUUCUUCGUGCCUAAUACAUGCAAGUCGAGCGAACAGACGAUGAGCUUGCUCCUCUGACGUUAGCGGCGGACGGGUGAGUAACACGUGGAUAACCUACCUAUAAUACUGGGAUAACUUCGGGAAACCGGAGCUAAUACCGGAUAAUAUAUUGAACCGCAUGGUUCAAUAGUGAAAGACGGCUUUGCCGUCACUUAUAGAUGGAUCCGCGCCGCAUUAGCUAGUUGGUAAGGUAACGGCUUACCAAGGCAACGAUGCGUAGCCGACCUGAGAGGGUGAUCGGCCACACUGGAACUGAGACACGGUCCAGACUCCUACGGGAGGCAGCAGUAGGGAAUCUUCCGCAAUGGGCGAAAGCCUGACGGAGCCACGCCGCGUGAGUGAUGAAGGUCUUCGGAUCGUAAAACUCUGUUAUUAGGGAAGAACAACUGUGUAAGUAACUAUGCACGUCUUGACGGUACCUAAUCAGAAAGCCACGGCUAACUACGUG
rnacentral:rRNA from 1 species